CCUACGGGGUGCAGCAGUGGGGAAUAUUGGACAAUGGGCGAAAGCCUGAUCCAGCCAUGCCGCGUGUGUGAAGAAGGCCUUCGGGUUGUAAAGCACUUUCAGUGGGGAAGAAAGCCUUGGGGCUAAUACCCUCGAGGAAGGACAUCACCCACAGAAGAAGCACCGGCUAACUCCGUGCCAGCAGCCGCGGUAAUACGGAGGGUGCGAGCGUUAAUCGGAAUUACUGGGCGUAAAGCGCGCGUAGGCGGUCUGAUAAGCCGGUUGUGAAAGCCCCGGGCUCAACCUGGGAACGGCAUCCGGAACUGUCAGGCUAGAGUGCAGGAGAGGAAGGUAGAAUUCCUGGUGUAGCAGUGAAAUGCGUAGAGAUCGGGAGGAAUACCAGUGGCGAAGGCGGCCUUCUGGACUGACACUGACGCUGAGGUGCGAAAGCGUGGGUAGCAAACAGGAUUAGAUACCCCGGUAGUC
rnacentral:rRNA from 1 species